GUCAACUACCUACCACCUAUAGAGGUGGAGGCUUGCAAAAGCCUUAGUUGACUACCCUCAGCCAGGGUCGAAAGACCAUCGGGCUACGUUAGGCAUGUCAUGACACCAUGGGAUGAUGCCCAAGUCCCAUGCUCUGUCGCAUGUACCUAAACAGUCCUGAGGGGUAGGGACAGUGGUACAUGCAUAACAAGCCUGCCUAACAUUGGGGAUGGGCAAAAUAA
rfam:Fervidicola ferrireducens strain Y170 AN618_contig000013, whole genome shotgun sequence.